GUCCACCUGACGGAACGAGUUUGCAUCUGAUGAUGUCAGAACUUACGGAAAGUUUCUAAAAGAAAUUAUGACAUGGUCAAGGAGGUGGAAGCAUGAACAAUGCCCUCAUCAAAUCAACUUAAUUGGAUUCGAAUCGAAGGAUGACUUUCGAGAAAAGGUAGUACGCAACUUCAUUUAUAUUAUGCACUUGGCAGGGAUAUUCUCAAGGAAUUGCAAGAUGAUGGGCUAUACACUUCACAUAGCCUGAGACCAUGGUGAGUACAUGGUCUUUUGACUUACUUUCUUUGUAGUUGUUUUACAAAUUGAGGAGGGGUAGCAGAUGGAUGGCAUUGCCAUGCAGAACUACGGACUCUUCACUGGAAUAAAAAUAGGUGCGUGAGAUGAUAGAUCGGGACAGACAUGCAUGCUCCAAGUUGUGAGCAGUUUUGUUUUGCAGAGAGAUAUUUAUCCUGGAAUGGAAAUUUUUCUUAUGAA